rnacentral:lncRNA from 1 species
CCAUCUUGAAAGCCAGGUUAAAAAAGGCUGCUCGCCCCCACCUCCUACUUCAGAGCCCCCUCAGCCGGGCCGCGGCGGGGGACCGGGCGGCCCGAGUGCGGGGCCUCGGCGCGCACGGACGCGUCACGGUUACCUUCUGGGGCCGCGGCCUUGACGGACGCGUAGCCGAGAUGAGAGGACCGCCCUCGGCCCGGCCGGCACGCUUCCCGGAGGUGACGUCACUACCCCGUUCAAACCCCGCAGGCCGGCGAUGACCUCAUAGCCCGCCCGCCGCGCCCCGGUCUCUCCUGCUCUCGGUUCCGUUACGCGGCGCCUUUAAAAAGCUGCGACAGCCCAGACGGCCCCACAGGCCAAUGACUGGCGACCCAUGCAAACGACCUAACGUCUCCGGGGCAGGGGGAUUGGCCCUGCGCAUGCUGACGUCACAGAAACAUUUCUCCGCCCCGCCCCCAGCGCGCCCGGCGGGGGGGGGGGCUGUGGGAAGAGCUGGCUCCGCCAAGCCCAGGAAGUUUCUGCGCUUUGGUUUCCCAACGCUUCCGACACCUGGGAGUCGAGGAAGUAAGGCACCAGGGCCGCCUCCAGGCCAGCCGCGGCUACCAAGACCUUGUCUUCACACACCCAAUGAACAGCCGGGGCGAGCGAGCGAGAGAGCGAGCCACAGAGAACCGAGAGGCCGAUCCAGGCAGAAGCUGAGCCUCCCAAGCAAACACAGUGGGCCUCGGUGUCUGCACAACACCAGAAUGACCUAAAGCGCUCCUGCCUACUAGGAUGGCCGGGAGUAACUGGACUCCAAGGCCCACCGGCCCAGAGCAAGAUGUCAGCACAAAACGGCAACACUGGUUAACUCUAUGUGGCCGCCGCAUACAGGCUCCAGUACACUCUGUACAUUGGAUAUAUCCCAUAACCUCAAAGUAUUUAAAAAAUGAAACCAACUUGCUGAGUAAGAUAUAACAGUAUUAUCAUUUCAACUGGAUAUUGUAUCUGCAUAUAGUAUUUCUGAAAGGAUACAGGAAUUAUCGGGGUGUACCUGUUCGGGAGGGCAAUUUUAAUUUUCUUUGUAUUUACUUAGUUUUUAGACAGUCUCUUAUAUCUCAACCUACCCUCAAAUUCCUGACCCUCUCGCCUCUACCUCCCAAGUGCUGGAAUUACAGGCAUACACUGCUAAUCCUGGUUUAGGUUUUCAAAUUUUUGUAACUGUAUAUUUGCUUUAAAAGAUUCUAGACAGAGCCAAAUCGGUGGUGGUGCAUGCCUUUACUCCCAGCACUUGGAAGGCAGAGGCUGGCUUUGAACUCAGAGAUCCUCCUGACUCUGCCUCCUGAGUGCUGGGAUUCAAGCCAUGUGCCACCACUGCUUGGCUUUUUUUUGGGGGGGGGGUCUUGGGUCUAUUUUUAAAGGAUUUUAUUUGUAUGUGAGUGUAUGUCUAUGCACCCUAUGCAGGCACUGCCUGUAGAGUCCAGGAGAGGUCUUGGACCUCUUGGAACUGGAGUUACAGACAGUUGUGAGUCAACUGAUGUGGGUGCUGGGAAUUGAACCCUGGUCCUCUGGAAGAGCAGCAAGUGCUCUUAACUGCUCAGCUACCUCUCUAGUCCUUUAUAAGCCCAAUUUUCAAGCAUUAAAACUUUAAUUCCUGUAGGAAAAGCAGCCAAUAGAAAGGAUCCAGAAGGACACGGGGAACAAUCUUUGGCUCAGAAUGUCCUUUAGACCAACCAAUUGCACUGUGGGUGUACAGUUAGCAACCAGAUGACAAGGUGGCACCUGGGGGCAAUUUGCAGAUCUCUAAGCAACAGGCGAUCAAGUUAGUGAUGCAGUGGCACAGGUGUGACUUGGAAGCCACUGUCUACAAAUGUGUGGGGACUCAGGUGUGGAC